CUUGAGGUGCUAAUUUGCUUACUCUUAGGGUGACCAAAAUGCCUCUAAGCACCUUACAGAAGUGGCCAGCUGUCUUACUUCUGCAGCAGGAUGUGAAGUAGGAUGGACCUGACUGUCAGGCUUCAAAGCUGAGGGCAGUAGACGUGAGGUCAUCAGCAGGACUUGCUACGAGGUUGGAACCAGUUUUGCAAUCCACAGUGUAUCACCAUCUUCACCUACACAUAAAAAGGCAACAGCAGUGCUGAAAGGAUGUCUUGUCUGCUUUCUGAGAGGAUAUGAAAAUGAUGGACCUGAGCUGGAACAGUUCAUUCUCCAGAGUGCUUGCUCAGAUGUGAAUGGGCAUGACAAUGGACUCUGCUUGUGGAAUCUGACUUAUGUCAACACCCAGGCUUCUGAGUAGCAACACAGGAGAAGCCAGAGAUAUAGAUCAAAUUGACCCUGUCGGGAACGGUGAAUUUCAGCUUUCUGCAUUUCAGCAGGGUCUCAAUCAAGAAGACAGCCACUGAAAAAAGGGGGCCUGCUCUUGACUCCAUGAAUUCAGAAUGUGAGUUUCUUGAGGACAGGAUGCAGUUUCUAAGUAAGCAGAUUGGGAUCACCAGCUAGAUUCUCAAAAAAUACUGAAAGCAAUAUGAUUUCAGAAAGGAAAGGCAAGAGGACAGACCCACGUUACAAUAAAGAAGAAUGGCUCCAAGAUGAGAGGCUAGGU
rnacentral:lncRNA from 1 species